CAGGCCUAAUACAUGCAAGUCGAACGGUAACAGCACUUCGGUGGCUGACGAGUGGCGCACGGGUGCGUAACGCGUAUACAAUCUACCUUUUACAGGGGGAUAGCCCAGAGAAAUUUGGAUUAAUACCCCAUGGCAUAUAUUUAUGGCAUCAUAUAUAUAUUAAAGAUUCAUCGGUAAGAGAUGAGUAUGCGUUCUAUUAGCUAGUUGGUGCGGUAACGGCGCACCAAGGCUACGAUAGAUAGGGGCCCUGAGAGGGGGAUCCCCCACACUGGUACUGAGAUACGGACCAGACUCCUACGGGAGGCAGCAGUGAGGAAUAUUGGGCAAUGGGCGAGAGCCUGAUCCAGCCAUGCCGCGUGCAGGAAGACUGCCCUAUGGGUUGUAAACUGCUUUUAUACGGGAAGAAACACCUCCACGCGUGGGGGCUUGACGGUACCGUAAGAAUAAGGAUCGGCUAACUCCGUGCCAGCAGCCGCGGUAAUACGGAGGAUCCAAGCGUUAUCCGGAAUCAUUGGGUUUAAAGGGUCCGUAGGUGGACGGUUAAGUCAGAGGUGAAAUCCUGCAGCUCAACUGUAGAAUUGCCUUUGAUACUGGUCGUCUUGAGUCAUUGUGAAGUGGUUGGAAUAUGUAGUGUAGCGGUGAAAUGCAUAGAUAUUACAUAGAAUGCCAAUUGUGAAGGCAGAUUACUAAUAAUCAACUGACACUGAUGGACGAAAGCGUGGGGAGCGAACAGGAUUAGAUACCCUGGUAGUCCACGCCGUAAACGAUGGUUACUAGCUGUUCGGACUGACUUCGGUCUGAGUGGCUAAGCGAAAGUGAUAAGUAACCCACCUGGGGAGUACGUUCGCAAGAAUGAAACUCAAAGGAAUUGACGGGGGCCCGCACAAGCGGUGGAGCAUGUGGUUUAAUUCGAUAAUACGCGAGGAACCUUACCAGGGCUUAAAUGUAAGUUGCAUAAGCUAGAGAUAGCUUUUUCUUCGGACCACUUACAAGGUGCUGCAUGGUUGUCGUCAGCUCGUGCCGUGAGGUGUCAGGUUAAGUCCUAUAACGAGCGCAACCCCUGUUGUUAGUUGCCAGCGAGUGAAGUCGGGAACUCUAACAAGACUGCCGGUGCAAACCGUGAGGAAGGUGGGGAUGACGUCAAAUCAUCACGGCCCUUACGUCCUGGGCUACACACGUGCUACAAUGGCCGGUACAGAGAGCAGCCACACCGUAAGGUGGAGCGAAUCUACAAAACCGGUCUCAGUUCGGAUCGGGGUCUGCAACUCGACCCCGUGAAGCUGGAAUCGCUAGUAAUCGGAUAUCAGCCAUGAUCCGGUGAAUACGUUCCCGGGCCUUGCACACACCGCCC
rnacentral:rRNA from 1 species